rnacentral:rRNA from 1 species
UACGUAGGGUGCGAGCGUUGUCCGGAAUUAUUGGGCGUAAAGAGCUUGUAGGUGGUUUGUCGCGUCUGCUGUGAAAAUCCGAGGCUCAACCUCGGACUUGCAGUGGGUACGGGCAGACUAGAGUGUGGUAGGGGAGACUGGAAUUCCUGGUGUAGCGGUGGAAUGCGCAGAUAUCAGGAGGAACACCGGUGGCGAAGGCGGUUCUCUGGGCCUGUACUGACGCUGGAGGAGCGAAAGCGUGGGGAGCAAACAGG